rnacentral:rRNA from 1 species
CUACGGGUGGCUCCAGUGGGGAAUCUUAGACAAUGGGCGCAAGCCUGAUCUAGCCAUGCCGCGUGAGUGACGAAGGCCUUAGGGUCGUAAAGCUCUUUCGCUGGGGAAGAUAAUGACGGUACCCAGUAAAGAAACCCCGGCUAACUCCGUGCCAGCAGCCGCGGUAAUACGGAGGGGGUUAGCGUUGUUCGGAAUUACUGGGCGUAAAGCGCGCGUAGGCGGAUCAGAAAGUUGGGGGUGAAAUCCCGGGGCUCAACCCCGGAACUGCCUUCAAAACUCCUGGUCUUGAGUUCGAGAGAGGUGAGUGGAAUUCCGAGUGUAGAGGUGAAAUUCAUAGAUAUUCGGAGGAACACCAGUGGCGAAGGCGGCUCACUGGCUCGAUACUGACGCUGAGGUGCGAAAGCGUGGGGAGCAAACAGGAUUAGAUACCCUAGUAGUC